GAUGAACGCUAGCGGCAGGCUUAACACAUGCAAGUCGAGGGGCAGCAUAAGUAGUAGCAAUACUAUUGGUGGCGACCGGCGGACGGGUGCGUAACGCGUAUACAACCUUCCCUAAACAGGGGGAUAAUCUGGAGAAAUUCGGUCUAAUACCCCAUAACAUCAGAGCAGGCAUCUGUUUUGGUUAAAAUUUCCGGAGGUUUAGGAUGGGUAUGCGUAGCAUUAGCUAGUUGGUGAGGUAACGGCUCACCAAGGCGACGAUGCUUAGGGGGACUGAGAGGUUAACCCCCCACACUGGUACUGAGACACGGACCAGACUCCUACGGGAGGCAGCAGUGAGGAAUAUUGGUCAAUGGGCGGAAGCCUGAACCAGCCAUGCCGCGUGCAGGAUGACGGCUCUAUGAGUUGUAAACCGCUUUUGUACGAGGGUAAAGUGGGCUACGUGUAGCCUUUUGAAAGUAUCGUACGAAUAAGGAUCGGCUAACUCCGUGCCAGCCGCCGCAGUAA
rnacentral:rRNA from 1 species